rnacentral:rRNA from 1 species
CACGUAGGGUGCGAGCGUUGUCCGGAAUUAUUGGGCGUAAAGAGCUCGUAGGCGGUGUGUCACGUCGGCCGUGAAAACCUGCAGCUUAACUGUGGGCGUGCGGUCGAUACGGGCAUCACUGGAGUUCGGCAGGGGGAGACUGGAAUUCCUGGUGUAGCGGUGGAAUGCGCAGAUAUCAGGAGGAACACCGGUGGCGAAGGCGGGUCUCUGGGCAGUAACUGACGCUGAGGAGCGAAAGCGUGGGGGAGCGAACAGG